ACAGACAGCCAGGAUGUUGGCUUAGAAGCAGCCAUCAUUUAAAGAAAGCGUAAUAGCUCACUGGUCGAGUCGGCCUGCGCGGAAGAUGUAACGGGGCUAAACCAUGCACCGAAGCUGCGGCAGCGACGCUUAUGCGUUGUUGGGUAGGGGAGCGUUCUGUAAGCCUGCGAAGGUGGCCUGUGAGGGUUGCUGGAGGUAUCAGAAGUGCGAAUGCUGACAUAAGUAACGAUAAAGCGGGUGAAAAGCCCGCUCGCCGGAAGAC
rnacentral:rRNA from 1 species